ensembl:lncRNA
GAAAGACGUCACUGCAGGAAACAAUUUUUCGGUGAAAGAAAAUGAGGACAGAAUAAAUGUCCCGAAAGAGGAAACCAGCGGAUGUCGCGCUAAACAACAGCAGCACGUUUAAGCUUGAUCAGCUGUUGUUAGAAUUUAUUUAAUAUUAAUUUCUAGUAUCAGCUGAUGUUUGCUGGAGCCACAGCUGUAAAGCUGCUGGUCAUGAUGUCGGUUUGGAUAUGUGGUGAGAGGGAAACAUGAAGAUGAAACCAGGAGAUGUCCUUACUGAACCAUCAGAGCUGAACAGGUGAUGGAGAAACAGGUUUACCUUUUAGGUGACAUGGAUGAGUUGAAGUUAUGAACUGUUUCUGAGAGACAAAUAACACCAGGAUCCUUUUCUAAGUAGCUGACAGCUGGUAACUGUGCAGGGGC